AUUAUCCCCACCCACCCACCUCUCUCUCUCUCUCUCCACAAUAAACACACACUCUCACAUAUAUCAUUGAUGAAUGUUCAUCACCACCCCCUCCCAUCUUCUUCUUCCUCACCUUUACCUGCAACUGAAACCUCUCACAUAUACAUCCUGAAAAUCAAAUCUCUCACAAACGAAACCUGCUAAUAGAGGUGUUGGUUCUAGGAGUCAAGACAUCUGAUGACAUCGCUCAGCCACCGCUUCAUCUUCUCUGACAUUUGUUUAAAUAUUCUUCUGGGUUUCAGUUUACAUCAUCUCAUCUUCAGGGAUUUUGAUUUCCACAAAGAGGGGAAAGAAAAUUGGAAUCGUAUGCUUCUAAAUAUAUCAGAAAAAAAAAAAGGAAAACGAUGCACUCCAAGUGCUCGAUGAAACACCUGAAAGAAAAGUACCUUCAGAUAUUUCAAUAUAUGAAAGAAAAGAAUCUUUACUGAGGUUCUGGAAAUGAAAUACUUCUAAAAUACAAACACAUAUCAGAAGAGAAAAGUGAAGGAAUCGGGAAUGAGUUCAUUGUUCAGCCAAGAAGGAAUCUAGAGUAUGUUGCAGUCAUCAAAGAUAGAUUAGAAGAAGAAGUUUAACCUUAUUGAACAUGUUGAGAGGAAUACGAUUGGUUUUUUAAGCUGGGAAAUUAAUUGAAGAAUUUGAUUGUUUGGGGUCAACUUAUGUGUAUAAUCUAGUAGCAAAAUUGUAAAAAUCUGGGUUUUUUUCCUCGAUCUGUAGAUGAUAGAUGAUGAAGAAGAAGAGAGAGUAUGGUGGGGUGGUUGGUAGCUAA